GUUAAAAGUGUCCCCCGGCCGCUCGCUGCCGGAGACUGGCGGACUCUUGCUCACUGGGUGCUGUCUCCUUGUUGGUACUCCGCCGCCAUGUUUUCCACGUAAACAUGAGACACACAACUGGGAUGACGUCGGUCAAGGUCAUUAAACGUACCAUCAGCAGCAGCAGCAGCAGCGGCAGCAGCAGCAGUAGGAGAGGACGCUCUGUGUCUUCGGCUGAUAGGAGCCGAGCAGCUUAUCGUCUGGCAGAUCUUGAAUUCCACCCAUCUUCUUUUGGACAUUCUCACCUAUAUUCGGUCCCACCUGUGAACACAACGCCGUCUGCACGACGCACUGAGCAUUUGAAAGUUUCGUCUGCCUCUAAAUUAUUGAUUUGCUGAAGGAGUACUGUGUCAGCAGUUACCCGAGCAACUUUACCAAGUCGACCACUAACAAAUGGAUUGGGACAGGAUUCCAUGUAAUAUUAAAAACCCAACAACAGGAAUGUACAUGGCAAGUAGUGCAUACAUUCACUGUACUUCUCAGAGAGAGCAAGAAAAAAAGUGCUCUGAAAUAAGAAUGGACUCAGACAACUAAAGAGAAAUGCAUUAUUGAUAUUCGUUGCAGAAAUGCCUCUUAUCACUAUACAUAUGAAUUCAACAAAAUAAAGAUGAAAACAGGAUUUUGUUUUCCGUAUUUGGAUUGAGAUAUUUAGUUAAUCAGAUAUUUAAAGUCUGUGCGAUGAGAAAAAGAUCAUGAAGUCUCUUCUGUCAUUAGCUGUUUUGUAUGAAAUGUACUUUAAAAUGUAAAUUUCAACAUAAAUAUGUUAUUUGAAGGAAUAUAUAAGUGCAUACUGUAUAAUGUUUAUUCAUUAUGUUUGUUUUGAGUUGGCAUGGAAACAGUUAUAAGCCCCUAAAAACUGCUAAGAUGUAAAAUGCAUAAAUGGCCCCUGAUUCCUUCCUGUUUAUUAGUGUAGAUCAAAUUUGACUUUCUUUGUUGUGUCCUCCACUUUCCCCCUCCCAUCCUUUACCCUGCACCAAAAAUCAUUAAAGCAGGAAGCAGCACAGA